rnacentral:rRNA from 1 species
AUAUAAUUAGGCGGAGGAAAGGAAACUAACCAAGAUUCCCCCAGUAAGGGCGACUGAAGCGGGAAGAGCUCGCAGUGUGAAUCAGUUCGCCGAAUUGUGGUCUGUUUGCAUUAACGGCCGGGCAAGUCCCUUGGAACAAGGCAGCCGAGAGGGUGAGACUCCCGUCCGCCCGGCCAUGUGAGCAAACAAAUACGAGUCGAGUUGUUUGGGAUUGCAGCUCGAAGUUGGUGGUAAAUUCCAUCUAAGGCUAAAUAUUGGUGGGAGACCGAUAGCGCACAAGUA